UCUCUCAUCUUUUCCCUACCACCGCCACCAUAUCUUCAUCGCUACAACCACUCCCCUCUUUCUUUCUCUCCAUCUCUGUCUCACACAAUCCCACAACCACGCCCUUGUUUCUUUAUCUUUCUCUUCAUCUUCGGUGAAGAUCAAUUGAUGAGGAUCACAGAUCACAAAGCAUUAUUCGAUAGAACAUAGGAUUUCGGCUUCAUCUUCUCUAACCCUCUAUUCUAUCUCUGUCUAAACCCUAGCCCUUGAAAUCGAAACCCUAUUGUAUCUUCGAUCUAUGUCUGAAAUAACCGAAACCCUUGAUUGAAUCAAGUCGAAACCCUUGAAAUCACUUCAUGAAGAAGAUGAAACCCUUGAAAUGAAACUCAGAGCAUCCAAAUUGGCUUUCUAAAGAAGAUGAAAACGAAGAAGAUGAAGCCAACUCUUUGGAAUGCUGAAAUCAUCUGAAAUUCGUCAACCAUCUUCAAAUCCAGGUGGGCAAGCUAAACAUCAGAGUUAGGAAGCCUCAAGUCUGCCCCGGGUCAACCUUUUGAGGAGCUUCCAAGUGAAGUCAUCAGGCUCAAGUGGAGCCAUAUUAGUGGAACCCUUUUUUGUUUGUUUAAGUGGUUUUGUGAUAAAUGUUUUGUUGGGGUUGUAUAUUUGCAAGACGUGAAUUUUAUAUAAUAGUGAACAAUAUACUUCGGGAACAAGUUUUUGCUUAUUAUACUAGUUUUCUUUAUA